rnacentral:ncRNA from 2 species
CCUACCUUUGCGAAGUCUUGUUCUGUAAACCUCCUUUCCUGAGGUUUCAGAUGAAAAGGGAAUCGGGUGAAAGUCCCGGACAGUCCCGCUGCUGUAAGCUCCAUAAAAAGGGUUGCCCAUCUAUCCUUUAGCCACUGCCCCCGAAGCAACCGGAGGGUGGGAAGGCCGGGCCAACCGGAGUAAGUCAGAAGACCUGCAAGACAAAAGCCAUGUUU